rnacentral:rRNA from 1 species
UACGGAGGGUGCAAGCGUUAUCCGGAUUCACUGGGUUUAAAGGGUGCGUAGGUGGGCAGUUAAGUCAGUGGUGAAAUCUCCGGGCUCACCCGGAAACUGCCAUUGAUACUAUCUGUCUUGAAUAUCGUGGAGGUAAGCGGAAUAUGUCAUGUAGCGGUGAAAUGCUUAGAUAUGACAUAGAACACCAAUUGCGAAGGCAGCUUACUACCCGAAUAUUGACACUGAGGCACGAAAGCGUGGGGAUCAAACAGG